rnacentral:tRNA from 4 species
NGCGGGGUGGAGCAGCUCGGUAGCUCGCUGGGCUCAUAACCCAGAGGUCGCAGGUUCAAAUCCUGUCCCCGCUAC